rnacentral:lncRNA from 1 species
CCAGUGAAUAGAAAGUCAGCCAAGUUACUUGAAGGAGCACUGGAAAGAUCCUCCUGUCUUGUUCCUGACAUCUUCCGGGUUACCAGGCUCUACCUUUUCUUCAGCUGAGAGGAGGAAGUGCGAAGAGCAUAGAGAAAACAAGUUAGCGAGAAAUCCCUUGGAGUUGGUCUACUUGUGAAAGCGGCUUAUUUAAUUCAUGUUGCUGCAACAAGGAAAUGCACGGACGUAUGCGUAUCAUGUAAGAAUGUUUCUUCAAGCAAAUAGAAAUGAAUAAUUAAAGUGAAUGUAUUUACUGUGGCAAGACUUCCGUUUGGCAGAAAACCAGCAAACCAAUUUCACAGCAGAAAGAUGGCGAUCUCCCCCUCCCCAGAGAACGUGCUGCUUAAACAGAAGAGAUGCAAUUAGAGUUAUACCUGCUUUGCAACUCAUGAAUAGACUUUAAGAUAUCAUGGUCCGCUAUUGAAGAAGGGCAGAACAGAAACUCAAGCAAGGAUGGAAUCUGGAGGCAGGAACUGAUGCAGCACUCAGGAGAAUGGAGUUGGGAUCUCAGUCAAGCCUCAGACUCACAGCAACCCACCUGCUUCACCAUCCUCCGUGCUGGGACUAUAGGUGUGAGCUACCAGACCCUAAUCAACACUGCCUUAAAUGAACUGGCAAGCGCCACUCUUCUUGCACACUGUUAAGUGAAUAGGUGACUUGAACGGAACAGUGACAAGUGGGACACUUAGUGUGACAACCAAGACAGGUCCUCAGUGACUAAAGAGCAGCUGAUAUAGACACACUGGACAAGGGGAAGCUCAGAUCCUGGGUGGAAAGAGUCAUGGCAUAUGAUGUCAUUCGACGUCACCAUGCAACUUUAGAACGGCAGCCGUUUACAGCUGUGAGUUGUUUGCUUUGGGCAGCUUGCAUCUAAUAUUUUUAUUUAUUAUAGGUAACUAAAUCCAGG